GCCUUGAGCCAGAGGGGAACGGGGUCUGUGGAGCACCACUUUGCAGGGGUUCCUCAUAGUGCGGUGUGGUUUGAGCCAUCUUUUGACCUCCCCCUUACAGCAACACAAAUGUAACUCCUAAAAAACGAUUCACUACCAGCCUUUAGCCUGCGAACUAUUCGUUCUCUACACAGCAGGACACAGUGGACACAUUUUUAUACUUGCAUUUCUAAUCUUUGGAUGUAUUUUUACAAAUGAAAGACUUAGGAAGAUUUUUAUCUGCUUAUCACCUGGAAAUUUUAGUGUGCAAUCUAAAGAAAAAGAUAAAGACAUCACAUUAUUAGCAUCAGUCCACCUCCCAAAUAUAGGAUGUUUUAUUGCCAAUUAUUUUUGUAUUCUGGCUGAGCUUUAUUUUGCACCAGGGCAGGCCUAACUUGCCGCUGGUUGUAUGUAGUUUGUGAAUAGAAGCCCAUAAGUGUUAAUAGACCUUGUAACAUUCGCUGUAAGAUGAAUUAUACAGGAUGUGGGGAAUCUCAGUAAGUCUUAAAGUUAAUUUAAAGUAAUUUAUCUGUUUUCUCUAAGAAAUGUUUAUCAUAAAAUAUAUAUGUAACUUCCCAUUUUGGUAUAAAAUCUAGGGAAGUGUGUGCAAGUGGAGUUGUGCUGACUUUGAAUUUCUAGAUGUCUUAAUGAGAUUUAUUUGUUUUAGAAAAAGAACAACUUGUUGAAAGCACCCAGUUCUGUCUUACAUACUGUCAACAGCCUCUUCAAGUUGUGCCUGUGUGAUCUGUGACCUCCUGUUCCUUUAAAGUGAGACAGUGACCUAUGACUCAUUGUUGACCUUAUACUUGGAACAGAACUACGGCAUUUACGGUGGAGUCCUGUACGACGAGAAAGUGUCAGGAUAUGCAACGCACCUGUGGCUUACCCCUUGACGGCCCAGCUUGGAAAUGAUGGCACCGACUACCUCUUCAAUCACUUGUGGCUAUCAACCACAGGCACUUAGCACCAGGCUGGCUUUAAUUAGUGUGUGUUGUUUUUGUGGUGGUAACAACUCUAUCCAUAUGAAGACCAAAGUGAACCCUGGUUUCUAUAUGUCUUUAAUGCAGUGUUGUAUCUAGUAUUUGGAAAUUAUCUCAUUCAGUGUUUAGAUUACCUCACUCCAUUUUGAUUCAUGUUGUUUACAAGUGAACAUUUUUUUAAAGAUACACUUGAAAUUGCGUUAGAAAGAACAAAGGAGGAGUUGCUAUUAGACUGGCACAGUGCAUUCCACAGACUUGGUGGACUGCUCUCUGCAGACAUGGGCCUAGGACUGUCUUUGUACCGAAUGUCUUACUCUGUUGGCUAUUGAUGUUUAAAAUUUCAUGAUAGAAAAUAAAAGACACAAUGUUGGUGUUU
rnacentral:lncRNA from 1 species